AUCUCGAUAGUUCAGUGGUCAAAACGCACAGCUUAAUGAUUGAAACGUUCUUAUGGACAACCGAUCAUGCCCUGUGAACCCUCGGUUCGAUUCCGAGUCGAGAUA